rnacentral:rRNA from 1 species
GACGAACGCUGGCGGCGUGCCUAAUACAUGCAAGUCGAACGCUGAAGGAGGAGCUUGCUUCUCUGGAUGAGUUGCGAACGGGUGAGUAACGCGUAGGUAACCUGCCUGGUAGCGGGGGAUAACUAUUGGAAACGAUAGCUAAUACCGCAUAAGAGUAGAUGUUGCAUGACAUUUGCUUAAAAGGUGCAAUUGCAUCACUACCAGAAGGACCUGCGUUGUAUUAGCUAGUUGGUGGGGUAACGGCUCACCAAGGCGACGAUACAUAGCCGACCUGAGAGGGUGAUCGGCCACACUGGGACUGAGACACGGCCCAGACUCCUACGGGAGGCAGCAGUAGGGAAUCUUCGGCAAUGGACGGAAGUCUGACCGAGCAACGCCGCGUGAGUGAAGAAGGUUUUCGGAUCGUAAAGCUCUGUUGUAAGAGAAGAACGAGUGUGAGAGUGGAAAGUUCACACUGUGACGGUAUCUUACCAGAAAGAGACGGCUAACUACGUG